CGUAGGUGACCUGCGGAAGGAUCAUUAAGAAAUAAUUUAUUCUAUUCUUUAGGAUUGAUAAAAAACAACCAUAUUAAUUUAUUCAACCCAAGUUUUUCUUUAAAACUUUCAACAACGGAUCUCUUGGUUCUCGUAUCGAUGAAGAACGUAGCGAAUUACGAUAAGUAUCAUGAGUUGCAGACGUGAAUCAUUAAUUUUUGAACGCACAUUGCACUUGAUCCAGCAUCAAGUAUGGGGGAGUGAGAGAGUAUUUCUUCGGCCACCUUCUUUGGAGCCGGCUUUUAUACCUCAAAUAAAAUUUACUUU
rnacentral:misc_RNA from 1 species